CUCCCCCACUCCAGCCACGAUAGCACGUUCUUUUCGGUUACCCCAAACUCGUCCGCUCGCCUGCUCCGUACCACCCGCCGCCGGCGCUACUCCUCGACCCACCACCUUCGUCGGCGCCGCUCCUCAACCAGGCGCCAGCGGCCUCACCAGCCUCGCCGGAGCACGAUCCCACACAGCCAAGGGCCGUAACUGCAGAAGUAGCGCAGCACGGUCCACACGGAUGGUGUCGUUCCGGUUGCGGAUCCCGUCCAUCGGCGCACCACGGGACCGAUUCGUUGGCACCUCGUCGUCAUCCAUGCUACCAGCGUCCUGCUCCCUCCUUAGUCCAUGGAAGCGGCGGGCCAUGGUGGAGUGCCCCUGGCUGUCGAGCUGGGAUCCACGGAGGCUGGAGUUGCUGGCUGAUUUUGCACCUAUUCUCACCGCCUCACCGGCACUGACUCCUCCUGGAUCAGGCGUAGUAGGCCUAAUGAUGGAUCAGGCGUAGUAGGCCUAGGGAGCAGCUGAUCCCCACUGUCUGGCUGUAUCGAUGCUUUCUCCCACAACCAAAGAUGGCAUCCAGUUCCCCAGAUCACAAGCGCUUGCCAUCAAAGCAUCCUCAUCCAUCUGCUCUUCAUGAUUGCUCACAUAGGUAGUUUCUUCUACAAUUACUGAUUUCUACAAAGCACCCCAGCACCUUUUCGCAACUCUUUAUGCUAUGUACUUUCUAAACAACAAAAGCCUCCUAAGCACAAUAUGUAUUUACCAGCUUUUAUGUGCAUUAAUUUUUCAGAAUAUGCAGUAUCAGUUCUAGCUGAGUUCACUGGUUAGUUUUUUUUGGUUUAUAUGGAACGAAAUUGUAGCAUGUUCAUGGUCAGAUUACAAUCAGAAUUCUAGGUGUGCUUGAUUUUAAUCUGCUAACUGCAGGGGGAAGAAUAAUUAUAUAGUCAAUUCCAAAGUCAUCUCAGUAUACAUAUGAUGAAAUCAUAAUAAAUGGUUGCAUACUCGUUUUCAAUGAUACUUCUCUCCACCAAGUUCAUGGCUUUCUAUAUCACGUCUUCAAUUUUUGUGUAUGAAUUUUUGACUGCUGAACUUGGUGAUGCUGACCAUGGUGUUCCUCUGCAACGACACUGGCAUCACCUGUGACCAUGCUGGCUGCAUGAGAUUUUCGAGCUCUGGGAUGGCAAGUUCAAGCUGCCGAGCGACCGUCAUGUUGCAUGUGGAGCUAGCCUUGUUCCACGAGGGGAGGAAAACCGGGGGUGCGACAUGACUCGGACGGCUCCGGGGCUCGUUCUCGUCGGUGGAGAUUGGACGCUGGGGACCAAAUGCCUAUUUGGAACCCGGGGACUAAAUAGUGCUGCCCUAUAUAUAUAUACCUAUGUGCUAUACUACACCCUAGGUGUAGAAUAAGUAUUCUACACCCAGCACCCAAACCAACUAGCCCACCAACCAUCCUCUUUGCCCGACCCGAUCCAACCUCCCACUUGGCCCACGGCCCAUCCACGAGUCAUGUUACUACCCACCAGGCCACCACCCUGUCCACGCUAACAUGCUGCCCAAACAGCGAUUCGAGGCUCGAUUCAGCGGCGGCGACGACGACGCGAUUUCAGGUGGCGCAUCCCUCCCGCCCAACUACUCCAGCGCACCCUAGCGCGGCGUGGAUCCCAGGCAGCGCACCCGAGCAGCGGCGGGAGCCCAAGCGGCACGCCCUCCCGCACCCUUGAGCGGGGACGACGACGACGCCCGUGGCUUGUGCUAGCCGCUGUUCUCCAUCGAGUUCUCGUUCUUCGCCGCUACAAGUGGUGAUGUAAAUGCCAAGGGUUAAAAUCAAAGGCGAUCUUCCUAAAGGCAUCAAAGGUAUAUCAUUGAGGGAUAGCCAAGGUGCCGAGUUCCGAUAGACCCCACACAGACCCAGCCUCGAGAUCUUGAGAUAGUCCUGCAGAUGCUGCACUGGACACAGUCUUAAUCGGAACGUGCAGCUGUAGGCUGUGGUGAUGAUGAGAUAGCUACACCAGCUACAUUCAUCCCGAGCUCACUAGAUGAGGGGUGUAAACGCCAUGGAUUAAAAUCAUAGGCGGCAUUUUAAAGGCAUCAAAGGUAUAUCAUUGAGGGAUUGCGGAGGUGUCGAGUUCCAGAUGGACCUCACACAGACCUAGUCUCCAGAUGCUUUCGUGGUCGCGACAUAGGACACAGUUGAAUUAGAAACAUGCAACUGUAUAUGGUGGUGAUGAUGAGAAUACUCCAGCAGCUACACUCAUUUUGUAGAUCUUUUUAGACUACAAGAGACUGUUAAUUUGUGACUAAUAUGUAUACAGAUUCAUGCUCACCGCCAAUUAUAUGUAUAUACUUGGAUUUUCGGUAAUCUAGAUAAACAAUUAUUCAGUAUAUGCACUUCCAGUAAUUUUGUAUAUUUUUGAGAAAUUGUUUUCUAGUAAUACCCAUGUACAUGCUUGGAUUUAGUAGUGCAGAGUUUCAAGUACAUCCAAUAAUACCUAUGCACAUUUAGAUUCUGUAA